rnacentral:rRNA from 1 species
AUUGAACGCUGGCGGCAGGCCUAACACAUGCAAGUCGAGCGGUAGCACAGAGAGCUUGCUCUCGGGUGACGAGCGGCGGACGGGUGAGUAAUGUCUGGGAAACUGCCUGAUGGAGGGCGAGAACUACAGGAAACGGUAGCUAAUACCGCAUAAUGUCGCAAGACCAAAGAGGGGGACCUUGGGGCCUCAUGCCAUCAGAUGUGCCCAGAUGGGAUUAGCUAGUAGGUGGGGUAACGGCUCACCUAGGCGACGAUCCCUAGCUGGUCUGAGGGGAUGACCAGCCACACUGGAACUGAGACACGGUCCAGACUCCUACGGGAGGCAGCAGUGGGGAAUAUUGCACAAUGGGCGCAAGCCUGAUGCAGCCAUGCCGCGUGUAUGAAGAAGGCCUUCGGGUUGUAAAGUACGUUCAGCGAGGAGGAAGGCGUUGUGGUUAAUAACCGCAGCGAUUGACGUUACUCGCAGAAGAAGCACCGGCUAACUCCGUGCCAGCCGCCGCUGUAA